ensembl:lncRNA novel transcript, antisense to ARNT2
CUCACAGAUGCCCAUACCUGUCCCGGAAAGGGCGGACGACUCCCUGUCCAUGCCACCUGACUCUGGUUUAGCUGCCGGGAGAUUUGGGACAUGUUCUGGCCCGUGGAAGAAGAGGACUGAAUAUCAUUCACUCCAGGCACAUGAACCACUGAAGAGCUAGAAAAGAGGAAAAUGCAUUUAUCCCGAGGACACACCUGGUUUGCAUGAGUCUACGUGCCCAGCCAACCACACAAUCUGCCCUGGGCCAUCUUCCUGGCUCUCUCUCCAUGCAGCACGUCACUAGAGAAAAUGACUCACACAUCGUGAGCCUCAAAGCCCCUUGGCCGUCCUCCUCUCCCUUCAGGGCUUCCUCUACACUGCUGAGUAGUCCUGCCAUGUCUAGUAGUCUGGUACUUCCUCUCCUCGUUCUCCCCAGGGUCUCCCACGCACUCUUCAGCCCCUAUCCUAUGCCUGUACAUCCUCUGCUCUCAGCAGAUGAUUUGGUUCCCAGAAAGAGAGAAGCUUCUUAGAAUAAAAAUCAGUCCCACUGUUCACUCAC